rnacentral:misc_RNA from 1 species
UUUUCUUUGCAGCUUGGGCAAUAGUGAUAUUUGUGCCAGAGACAGUCCAUUGAGGGGCAAAGAAAGCAAACCCCAAGCAUAAAUGGCAUCAUACAACCAACAACAGCUGCCAGACUAGGCUUUGACCUGACAACAGUAAGCCCAGAAUUACCACAGAAAAUGCAGUUAAAAGGAGCAGGAGUGUCCCGAUACAUAGUCUGCUGAAUCGGAAUUCCUUUCGGAUCGCCGAAGACGGCGUUUGGCGGGAUGGCUCCAGCUUGGUAAGGAUUCUGGCCGACGUAGUAAGGAACCCCGAUGGCAGGCUCGUCUUUUU